UACAGAGGGGGCAAGCGUUGUUCGGAAUUACUGGGCGUAAAGGGCGCGUAGGCGGCCUGUUAAGUCGGACGUGAAAUCCCUCGGCUCAACCGGGGAACUGCGUCUGAUACUGGCGGGCUUGAAUUCGGGAGAGGGAUGUGGAAUUCCAGGUGUAGCGGUGAAAUGCGUAGAUAUCUGGAGGAAUACCGGUGGCGAAGGCGGCAUCCUGGACCAUUACUGACGCUGAGGCGCGAAAGCUAGGGGAGCAAACGGG
rnacentral:rRNA from 1 species